rnacentral:lncRNA from 1 species
UGAACGCUGCAGAGGUCGGUAACUGGAACUGGCCGACGAGGGACGCCUCAACGAAGUGGGGCGCCGGUGAGAGAGAUGAUUCGGUUUCUGGUUAUGGACGUCGGGCAAGGUUAACGAACUUUUCUGGAAUUAAACUUUUCGGGUUUUGAGAAUAAACAGGUUGAUUAUUUGGAAGCUGUCUGGAUUGGGGUCUGUGUGGAGCAUCAAGAAUUAACUUUCUGGUUGAUACGAUAGUGCACCAUAGGGUGGUAUAUAUAGGAAUAGGUUCUGUGAAUUUUUGAUUUGUGGGUUAAUGAAGAUGUUUGUGAGAUUUGCAAUAGCGGGUAUCGGUGUAUGGAGAAGAUGAUGCUGGUAAUUAUUGGACAACGGUCGAAGGUGAUGCAGAGUACACAAUGGCGACUACGAAGUAGUUGUGUUGGCGGCGGUGUCUGCUAAUUUGGGACGACGGUAGAGUUGAAAUUGUCGCUGUUUUUUUUUUCUAGAAUAUUUUUUUGAUGAAGAAAACCAGGUUUGCUCUGAUACCAAUUUGAUGUAGUACGAAAACAAAUGAUGAAGAAGGAGAAAGGG